GGAUAACGCCUGCACUGUUUGUUGUCUAGUAGACGACGUGAUGUUGCAACUCUUAUAGAUGUCCAUUAUUUUUCUGUAUCCAAGACUGGACGGGAUGGAAGCAAAGAGGCUGCCUGAGGGAUACAUUAGGCAGAAACCAAUGGCUGCAAGACCAGAGAUGUAGAACCCUCCAAGGAGAGAGUCUUUAGUAGAUCGAGAAACUGCUGAAACCUCUGUGAGUUACAGUGGCUCUGGCUGUACCAAGAAUGCAGACAAGGACAAGGGGAGUCUGGAUCCUGAGUACCUCCUCCAUUAACUGGACGAUUCUGCAUGCCCUACCCUAGAGAUGCCCUGCCCCCAUGGACUAUUAGGCACAUCCACCUCCUGAACCCUGGUGGCCCUGGGGCACCUGAACUCCCUCACCUGCAACACUUGGUAAGAUGAUCUGAGCACUAAGCACUAGGAGUUGACUUGUAAAACACACUCACCUUAUUUUUGUUGCUGUUAGGUCUGGGCCAAGGUGCAGAGGUGUACCACGACAUUGUGAUGCAAGGGGAAUGUGUCUGCUGCCAUUACCACAUUCCUCAAGUUUCUCAGGAUCUCAUCUUUGUCAUUUCCCCCACCAUGUGUUGGUACAGGCAUCUCUUGUGGAGAAGGAAUGGGGCUGUAUGCAGAAAAUCAGACAUAGCGCUUCAGGAGAAUGCCCUGUACACAGUCCACGUGCCAGGAUCUGUGAGGCAUGAGGCAAAACGUAACGUAUGUCCAUCUAGUUGUGCCCCCCAGCCAUCCAUAGUUGUUCGCUGAGUGAUUGAAUACAUCUGAAUAAGGGCUUUUAGGAGUCUUCAUCAAGUUAUAAGGGAUGGUUCUUCAAGUUCUUCUUGAGGAUCACCUGAGGCAUGUGGGACACCCUAUGCAUUGUGAUUAGGGAUCUCACUGGGGCAAAGAGUUUAAGUUGUCAGAAGUAUGAGGGGAGGGUCUUUUGUUUUUGUUUUUGAUCUCGAAACAAUCUACUCAAGUCAGAAUAAACCUCCAUCCCUUCUAGGGCUUUUUGCAGGUCCAGGAGCAGGUGUCACACCUAACAGUGACAUCGACACUGGCUCUGCCAAAACUGCCGAGAAGCACAAAGUAAAUGCUGUGGCCAUUUUCAGUUCUAAGUCUUUAUGGACAGCCACAUCUUUCUGUACAGGACACUCUCCUGCCAUUGUCUCUGGUUUGUGUGUUGUAUGGCUAUUUUGUAUGCACGAGGGCCUGGUCCUUUCCCAGGAUUGCUUUGCAGGCUGUACCCCAUGGACCACCCUUCACUACCAGUCAUGGGCUAUAGGCCACAUCCCUCUCCUCCCCCUACUCUAUUUGUUAAGAUGACCUGAACUGGAUGAAAUGCUG
rnacentral:lncRNA from 1 species